rnacentral:rRNA from 1 species
UGGGGAAUAUUGCACAAUGGGCGAAAGCCUGAUGCAGCAACGCCGCGUGAAGGAAGAAGGGCUUCGGCUCGUAAACUUCUAUCAAUCGGGAAGAAAGAAAUGACGGUACCGAAAUAAGAAGCCCCGGCUAACUACGUGCCAGCAGCCGCGGUAAUACAGAGACUGCAAGCGUUACUCGGAUUCACUGGGCGUAAAGGGAGCGCAGGCGGAAUCGUGUGUCGGAUGUGAAACCCGGGGGCUCAACUCCCGGACUGCGUCUGAAACUGCGAUUCUAGGGACUCGGAGGGGCCAGUGGAAUUCUUGGUGGAGCAGUGAAAUGCGUAGAUAUCAAGAGGAACACCAACGGCGAAGGCAGCUGGCUGGACGAGAUCCGACGCUCAGGCUCGAAAGUAUGGGGAGCAAAAA